UAGGCGGUCAGCACCACGCCGCCCGAGUCCUCCACCUCCAUCGUCAGCCGCGCAUGUCUCGGCGCCGGCCCCAGAACAAAGACCGGGACCAGCAUGGACCGGCGCGCCGGGAGGCUGUCAGCAGCUGGGCGGCGCGGCCCGAGCCCUCUUCCAACUGGAGGCUUAUCCUGUGGCUGGGAACAUUUCCUGCCUGGCUGCGAGGAGUGAGACUAAGAAACCAUACCUCAGGCUGAGGAGAGAGGCCGGGUUUGAUAUGUGUGCUCUAGGGAAGAAAAGGAGAAAAUGUGACACUCUCUCAUUUAAAGCAUCCACAUCAAAAAUUGAAGAACUGGAUUACAUUGCUGUUUACUUAGUCAAGUUACAAUAAACUUGAUUUCCUUUUGGGAAAAAAAAAAAAA
rnacentral:lncRNA from 1 species